UACGGGGGGGGCAAGCGUUGUUCGGAAUUACUGGGCGUAAAGGGCUCGUAGGCGGCCAACUAAGUCGGAUGUGAAAUCCCCAGGCUUAACCUGGGAACUGCAUCCGAUACUGGAUGGCUUGAAUCCGGGAGAGGGAUGCGGAAUUCCAGGUGUAGCGGUGAAAUGCGUAGAUAUCAAGCGGAACACCGGUGGCGAAGGCGGCCUUCUGGACAGUGACUGACGCUGAGACGCGAAAGCGUGGGGAGCAAACAGG
rnacentral:rRNA from 1 species